AUGCACUAGAUGGGGAAUUAGCGAUGCCCUGUAACCUGCAAUCGCUACAGCAGGAUCGAAUUCCCGAGCGCGGGAUUAAAAGUGUUGGUAUGAACUUAAAAAGUGGUGUUGAGAAGUGGGUCUCACGCAACAGGAACCUGUGAACCUGGUCAGGAUCGGAAGGUAGCAGCCAUAAGCAGU
rnacentral:SRP_RNA from 1 species